CGAUAAGUUCACGGUAACACUGAUAAGGUAAAUAAAUAUUUCGUAAAUAAAUAAAUUAAUAGAUCCGAUUUAUGUAAAUCUGGAGAGAUUCAAGUCCCUGCUACUGCUGAAGUGAACGCCGGAUUGUCCUCUCCCCGUGCGCUGCAGGCUGUGCUGCUUGGCGUGGUGGAGAUAGUGGGCGUAAAAGUGGGUCCAACUCCUGCUAAUAGAUACAAAAACACAGAUUUGUGACAACGAAUCCAAAGGCCAAACUGACCAAUCAGUCAAACAAAAAACCACGGAACAUGGGCAAACACAGAACUGCGCAGCAAGAUGCCAUAUUCAUCGCAUUUAUGGAGAGACACCCAAUGAUAGCCAAAAACUACCUCAAGGGUGAUAAGCUGGCAGCUGAAGCCGCCUGGAAGCGGCUUUCAAAGGAGUUAAAUAGCGUGGGUCCGCCUGUCAAAGAAGUUUGUGAGUGGAAAA